GUGCAGAGUGUGGCUCAGAUUUCACAUACUAAAAUGGAUGUUGCCAAUCUGGUUAAAGUCUUUGGCCCUACAGUAGUGGCCCAUGCUGUGCCCAGUCCAGACCCAGUGACAAUGUUACAGGACAUCAAGUGUCAACUCAAGGUGAUCAAGCGCCUGCUUUCCCUGCCCCUGGUGUACUGGAGUCAGUUCAUGAUGGUGGAGCAAGAAAACAUUGACCCCAAACACCUUUUCAACACCACAGACAUCAGAUAUUAAAGUGAGUUUACUGGGACCUGUGACCAUUCCUGAACAUCAGCUUCUCAAGAGUCCUUCAUCUAGUCCCCUGUCACAGAGAUUCCAUUCCACCCUCACAAAGAACACUCCCAGAUUUGGGAACAGAAACUCCUCUUUCUACCAUCU
rnacentral:lncRNA from 1 species